GAUGAACGCUGGCGGCGUGCCUAAUACAUGCAAGUCGAGCGAACAGACGAGGAGCUUGCUCCUCUGACGUUAGCGGCGGACGGGUGAGUAACACGUGGAUAACCUACCUAUAAGACUGGGAUAACUUCGGGAAACCGGAGCUAAUACCGGAUAAUAUAUUGAACCGCAUGGUUCAAUAGUGAAAGACGGUUUUGCUCUCACUUAUAGAUGGAUCCGCGCCGCAUGAGCUAGUUGGUAAGGUAACGGCUUACCAAGGUAACGAUGCGUAGCCGACCGGAGAGGGUGAUCGGCCACACUGGAACUGAGACACGGUCCAGACUCCUACGGGAGGCAGCAGUAGGGAAUCUUCCGCAAUGGGCGAAAGCCUGACGGAGCAACGCCGCGUGAGUGAUGAAGGUCUUCGGAUCGUAAAACUCUGUUAUUAGGGAAGAACAAAUGUGUAAGUAACUAUGCACGUCUUGACGGUACCUAAUCAGAAAGCCACGGCUAACUACGUG
rnacentral:rRNA from 1 species